GAUAAACGCUGGCGGCGCACAUAAGACAUGCAAGUUGAACGGACUUAAUCGAAAUAUUUAUAUUUUGAAGCGGUUAGUGGCGGACUGGUGAGUAACGCGUAAGGAACCUGCCUAUUAGAGGGGAAUAACAGUGAGAAAUCAUUGCUAAUACCGCAUAUGCCAUAGAUAUCACAUGAUAACAGUGGGAAAGGAGCAAUCCGCUAAUAGAUGGCCUUGCGUCUGAUUAGAUAGUUGGUGGGGUAACGGCCUACCAAGUCGACGAUCAGUAGCCGGACUGAGAGGUUGCGCGGCCAAAUUGGGACUGAGAUACGGCCCAGACUCCUACGGGAGGCAGCAGUCGGGAAUAUUGCGCAAUGGAGGAAACUCUGACGCAGUGACGCCGCGUAUAGGAAGAAGGUUUUCGGAUUGUAAACUAUUGUCGUUAGGGAAGAGAAAGGACAGUACCUAAGGAGGAAGCUCCGGCUAACUACGUG
rnacentral:rRNA from 1 species